UUCUUCGCAGCGGGAGAGAUCGUUUGAGAUUUAGAGCUCGAACGGCGCCGACGGAGCAACCGCCCCGGAAACUCUCAGGCAAAAGUACCGCUACGAUGAU
rnacentral:ncRNA from 1 species